CUGCGAGUGAAGCGGCAAAAGCUCAAAUUUGAAAUCUGGCGUCUUUUUCNNNNNNCCGAGUUGUAAUUUGGAGGAGCGUCUUCGGAGGCUGGACGUCGUUCUAAGUUCUUUUGGAACUGGACAUCAUAGAGGGUGAGAAUCCCGUGCCUGAGCGGUCGUCUGGUUUUCAUAUGAAGUGCUUCCAACGAGUCGAGUUGUUUGGGAAUGCAGCUCAAAAUGGGUGGUAAAUUUCAUCUAAAGCUAAAUACUGGCGAGAGACCGAUAGCGCACAAGUAGAGUGAUCGAAAGAUGAAAAGCACUUUGAAAAGAGAGUUAAACAGUACGUGAAAUUGUUGAAAGGGAAGCGCUUGAGAUCAAUCUUGGUGUUGGUGUGACUCCUAAUCCUGGGCUCUUGCAGCUCUGGCGUGGAAAAGUUACAUCAGGCCAGGCUAGCAUCGGUUUUGAUGGAGGGAAAAAAUGGUUAGGGAAUGUAGCUCUUGCUCGCAAGAGUGUUAUAGCCCAAGCCUUUGAUACCGCCAGUUGGGACCGAGGACUGCGCCUGUUCUGCAGGUUAGGAUGCUGGCAUAAUGGUCUUCAGCGACCCG
rnacentral:rRNA from 1 species